ACACCUACGGGUGGCUGCAGUGGGGAAUUUUGGACAAUGGGCGCAAGCCUGAUCCAGCCAUGCCGCGUGCGGGAAGAAGGCCUUCGGGUUGUAAACCGCUUUUGGCAGGAACGAAACGGCGCGAGCCAAUACCUCGCGCUAAUGACGGUACCUGCAGAAUAAGCACCGGCUAACUACGUGCCAGCAGCCGCGGUAAUACGUAGGGUGCAAGCGUUAAUCGGAAUUACUGGGCGUAAAGCGUACGCAGGCGGCUUUGCAAGACAGGUGUGAAAUCCCCGGGCCUAACCUGGGAACUGCAUUUGUGACUGCAUGGCUAGAGUCUGUCAGAGGGGGGUGGAAUUCCACGUGUAGCAGUGAAAUGCGUAGAGAUGUGGAAGAACACCGAUGGCGAAGGCAGCCCCCUGGGAUGAGACUGACGCUCAUGUACGAAAGCGUGGGGAGCAAACAGGAUUAGAUACCCUGGUAGUCCACGCCCUAAACGAUGUCUACUAGUUGUCGGGGGGUAACUCCUUCGGUAACGCAGCUAACGCGUGAAGUAGACCGCCU
rnacentral:rRNA from 1 species